rnacentral:rRNA from 1 species
UGAGUACGAGCUGCUACGGCAGCGAAGUGGGUGAUGUCAAGCUUCCAAGAAAAGCCCUAUACCCGUUAAGGCAUGAUGGCCUGUACCCGAAACCGACACAGGUGGGGUGGUAGAGAAUACCGAGGGGCGCGAGAUAACUCUCUCUAAGGAACUCGGCAAAAUGGCCCCGUAACUUCGGGAGAAGGGGUGCCACCGCAAGGUGGUCGCAGUGAAGAGGCCCAGGCGACUGUUUACCAAAAACACAGGUCUCCGCUAAGUCGCAAGACGAUGUAUGGGGGCUGACGCCUGCCCAGUGCCGGAAGGUUAAGGAAGCUGGUCAGCGUAAGCGAAGCUAGCGACUGAAGCCCCGGUGAACGGCGGCCGUAACGAUAACGGUCCUAAGGUAGCGAAAUUCCUUGUCGGGUAAGUUCCGACCCGCACGAAAGGCGUAACGAUCUGGGCGCUGUCUCGGAGAGAGGCUCGGCGAAAUAGAAUUGUCUGUGAAGAUGCGGACUACGUGCACCCGGACAGAAAGACCCUAUGAAGCUUUACUGUAGCUUGGUAUUGUGCUCGGGCUCGGAAUGCGCAGGAUAGGUGGGAGGCUAUGAACCAUUGCUUGCGGGUGAUGGUGAGCCACUGGUGAGAUACCACUCUUUCCGAGCUAGAGUUCUAACAGCCACCCGUUAUCCGGGGGCUGGACAGUAUCAGGUGGGCAGUUUGACUGGGGCGGUCGCCUCCUAAAAGGUAACGGAGGCGCGCAAAGGUUUGCUCAGGCUGGUUGGAAAUCAGCCGACGAGUGUAAAAGCAGAAGCAAGCUUGACUGUGAGACCUACAAGUCGAACAGGGAGGAAACUCGGCUUUAGUGAUCCGACGGUUCUGCGUGGAAGGGCCGUCGCUCAACGGAUAAAAGUUACUCUAGGAUAACAGGCUGAUCUCCCCCAAGAGUUCACAUCGACGGGGAGGUUUGGCACCUCGAUGUCGGCUCAUCGCAACCUGGGGCUGAAGUCGGUCCCAAGGGUUGGGCUGUUCGCCCAUUAAAGCGGUACGCGAGCUGGGUUCAGAACGUCGUGAGACAGUUCGGUCCAUAUCCGGUGCAUGCGCAGGAAUAUUGAGAGGAUUUCUCCCUAGUACGAGAGGACCGGGAGGAACGCACCUCUGGUGUACCAGUUAUCGUGCCAACGGUAAACGCUGGGUAGCCAUGUGCGGAGAGGAUAACCGCUGAAAGCAUCUAAGUGGGAAGCCCACCUCAAGAUGAGUAUUCCCAUGGGGUAACCCAGUAAGGUCACGGGAAGAACACCCGUUGAUAGGCUCUACGUGGAAGCGCAGUAAUGUGUGAAGCGGAGGAGUACUAAUAGACCGAGGGCUUGAC